AAACUUCACAGAACACCAGCUUG
rnacentral:piRNA from 1 species